GUUUUCGGGUAAUUACGGUUAGCUUGACUAGCUGAGGAAAGUCCAUGCUCUCACAAGCUGAGAGUGCUUGUAGUGUUCGUGCUUAGCGAAAAAAUAAGCUAAGGCAGAUGUGUUUCACAUUUGACGGCAGUUAAAACAGCUAAGGCUUUAGGGCUAUGCUGGAGUAGACUUGAAAGUGCCACAGAGACGAAGCAAUAUUAGAAAUAAUAUUGGUGGAACGGGUAAACCCCACGAGAGAGCAACCCAAACAUAAGGUAGGGGCACUUUUUUCUAGGAAAUGAACGAAGAAAAAAGGCAGUCGUAAGAUUGCAGACAGAUUAUUACCGUUACUUUUUGAUCCUGAGAGAAAGUAAUACAGAACAUGGCUUAUAGAA
rnacentral:RNase_P_RNA from 1 species